GAGCGAUGAAGAAUCCUAGCGUUGACUUGUGAUCCGGGUCGAUCACAACCGUCUGAUCUUUCUGACGAAAUUGUUAGCGCAAUCAGAGCUC